AUCACUUUCAGGAUCGAAGUGCUGCAACAAAUGUACAUGAGACUGACCCUGUUGUUGUAGCUGGCUGCUCCCAAACACAGUUGAACAGUGAGUCUCAGAAGUCCAGUCCUACAGUCAUGAGAGUGCAAAACAGGCCCACAAGUGGAGAGAAGACAGAGAGACAGCAGCUAGAUACAAAGCAGCUGUACAGAUGUUCAGACUUCAAGAAGGACGACUAUUAUGCUGUGUAUUAUGACCGUGCCUAU